rnacentral:tRNA from 1 species
GGGGCUGUAGCUCAGCUGGGAGAGCACCUGCUUUG